rnacentral:lncRNA from 10 species
GGAAAUAAACAUUCCUUCCCUGUCAGGAAAAAAAUCACUUGUCUAGUCUGUCUAGAUUUUAAAGUGUGAUCCUUAGUGGCGUCCUACCAUCAUCUGUGUGCUGGUGUGGGGUGUACCAUGCCCCCUGCCCUGCAGCACACGCUGUUCUUCCUGGAAGGCUGAUCACAGGCAGAGAUUGUAGUGGCUACUUGCAUACCAAGGACCAAGACACACCUCUUCUCAAACAUUGCCUGCUCUCCUCUGGAGUUCAGGUGCUGAGAAUACAACAAUGAACAACACAGAUUAAGCCUCUAUUUUUAUGGAGUGCCCUACAGUUAAAUGACAGAUGUCACUUUUGCUCUCAACUAAUUUACUAGCACUACUUAAAUGGCUCAAUUCAACUAUAAGGGAGAAAAGAAAUGAAAUCCUGCCAUGUACCUGGAGAUUGGAGUACAAGAAAUACUUGCCUAUGCAGGAAGAACAAAGGUUAGAGGAAAAUGAAACACAUUAUUAUUGCUGGGAGCAAACAGAAGACACACUAUGAAGAAGAGAUGGAGUUUGAGCAUCCUGGCAAAUCCAGACUGAAGUUAAAUGACAUCCACCAAACAACUCCAGGCUGUGAAGAAACAGACAGCUCUCCUCCCACUUCUCAUCUUCCUUUUCUAGGCCAUUAAACUGUGCACUGAAAAAGAUGAAGAUACCUCCCCAGGCUUUGGAAUUAUCAAAAUAACUUUGGAAUUCUUGAUAUUGAUUAAUAUCAAUACUAUUCCUAUUCUAUUCAAGUCAACUAAGACAAUGUUUUCAAAUUUUAGAUUAUGAUUCAUUAGUUGAUAACAAAAUCAAUUUAAUUGGCUUUAAAAGAGACAUAAAAUAGAAAAGAAAAUAUAAAAGCAUGCAUCACAUGCAGUAAGGACGAGUCUAUGUAUGUAAACAUUUUGUUUCAAAUAUAUAUGUGUGUUUGUUUAUAAGAUGUACAUAUUGCGAUAGUUUAAUGUUUCUUAUUGUGAGUUAUAGUCAACAAAGUGUUCAAAAAUUAUUUAAUUAAAAUGUAAGCUCCCCAAAGGUAGAGUUUUUGCCUUGUCCACCAUUGUUCAUCCAGCACCUAAAACACAUACAUAAUAAAUAUUAGCUGAAUAAAUAUAUGGCCUGGGGAAAGUCAAUGAAUCUGUUUUCUGAUCUGUAGAAGAAUAAAGUCUACCUUAUAGGUUUGUCAUUGGAACUAAUAAAAAUGAG